UUUUUUUUUUUUUUUUGGCUUUAUCAAAUUUUAAAGCAAAAUUGCUUUAGGGCCAAUGCUUGUACUGGUUGGACGUGUAGUAAUAAUUUGAGUGAGACAAUGGCUACCUGCGACAAGUAGAAUGCUUUUACAUUCUUUGCACCGUUUAUAUUUUGGUAUUUUGGGGGGUAUACUGUUACACAUCAGACCUGCACACCUUUGAAACUCAAGAUAACCAGAGAAGA
rnacentral:misc_RNA from 1 species